rnacentral:rRNA from 1 species
UAAGAGGUCCCGCCUGCCCACUGACUAUUUGUUCAACGGCCGCGGUAUUUUAACCGCGCAAAGGUAGCGCAAUCACUUGUCUUUUAAAUGAAGACCUGUAUGAAUGGCACGACGAGGGCUAGACUGUCUCCUCCUUCCAGCCAAUGAAAUUGAUCCCCCCGUGCAGAAGCGGGGAUGUUACCAUAAGACGAGAAGACCCUGUGGAGCUUUAGACACGAAGGGAGACCAUGUUAAACACCUGCCCAUACGCAGCCAAACUUGUGGGCCCUUCCCUAAUGUCUUCGGUUGGGGCGACCGCGGAGACAGAUAAACCCCCGCGCGGAAUGGGCAGACUACCUCUUCCUUGAAUUAAGAGUCACCGCUCUACGUACCAGAACUUCUGACCAAGCCAGAUCCGGGAAAACCGAUUAACGAACUUAGUUACCCCAGGGAUAACAGCGCAAUCCUCUUCUAGAGCCCGUAUCGACAAGAGGGUUUACGACCUCGAUGUUGGAUCAGGACAUCCUAAUGGUGCAGCCGCUAUUAAGGGUCCGUUCGCUCAACG